CAGUGGGCAUGGUGGGGGUGGGC
rnacentral:miRNA from 1 species